rnacentral:rRNA from 1 species
ACUAAAUAGAUACCCGGGUAGUCCACGCCCUAGACGAUGUCUACUAGUUGUUGGUGGAGUAAAAUCCAUGAGUAAACGCAGCUAAACGCGUGAAGUAGACCGCCUGGGGAGUACGGUCGCAAGAUUAAAACUCAAAGGAAUUGACGGGGGCCCGCACAAGCGGUGGAUUAUGUGGAUUAAAUUCGAUGCAACGCGAAAAACCUUACCUGGCCUUGACAUGCCACUAACGAAGCAGAGAUGCAUUAGGUGCCCGUAAGGGAAGUGGACACAGGUGCUGCAUGGCUGUUGUCAGCUCGUGUCGUGAGAUGUUGGGUUAAGUCCCGCAACGAGCGCAACCCUUGCCAUUAAUUGCCAUCAUUUAGUUGGGCACUUUAAUGGGACUGCCGGUGACAAACCGGAGGAAGGUGGGGAUGACGUCAAGUCCUCAUGGCCCUUAU